rnacentral:rRNA from 1 species
UACAGAGGGGGCAAGCGUUGUUCGGAAUUACUGGGCGUAAAGGGCGCGUAGGCGGCCCGCUAAGUCGAACGUGAAAUCCCCGAGCUCAACUCGGGAACUGCGUCCGAUACUGGCGGGCUUGAAUCCGGGAGAGGGAUGCGGAAUUCCAGGUGUAGCGGUGAAAUGCGUAGAUAUCUGGAGGAACACCGGUGGCGAAGGCGGCAUCCUGGACCAACACGUGACACUGAAAGCGAAAGCCAGGGGAGCAAACGGG